CAGCACGGAGAAGCUGAGUGUGCGCUCAACGCAAUUCACGCCUGUGCAAUAAACGCAUACCCUGAUGUGAUGAAGCAUUUUGGAUACAUCUACUGUACGGAACGGCUAGUCUUGGAGAACAAACUUGAAAAAUGGGCUGAUUGUUUAGAAAUGGUUGGAUUGAGCAGAGCAGCAGUUGAUUGUUACAUUAACGGAUACGGAAACCAGCUUGAACAGAGGUAUGCUGAAGAAACUUCUGAACUUUAUCCAGCACACAGAUUUGUACCAUGGGUGGUUGUGAAUAACCAACCACUUCAAGAGGUUAGUCCUAUAAAUUAAGCUGAUUACUUCAAAGAAGAAACAAACUUUUCAUUUAUGUGCCUUUGGUGAACAGAACUACCAGAACUUUGUCAUGUAUGUAUGCAAUGCUUAUGGAAGUAA